GUGGGUAUAGCUCAAGUGGUAGAGGGCAUGCUUAGCAUACAUGACGUUCUGGGUUCAAUCCCCAGUACCUCCU
rfam:Camelus ferus unplaced genomic scaffold scaffold632, whole genome shotgun sequence.